rnacentral:rRNA from 1 species
CCUACGGGUGGCAGCAGUGGGGAAUUUUGGACAAUGGGGGCAACCCUGAUCCAGCGAUGCCGCGUGAAUGAAGAAGGCCUUAGGGUUGUAAAGUUCUUUCACCUGUGACGAUAAUGACGGUAACAGGAGAAGAAGCCCCGGCAAACUCCGUGCCAGCAGCCGCGGUAAGACGGAGGGGGCUAGCGUUGUUCGGAAUGACUGGGCGUAAAGGGCGCGUAGGCGGCAUAUUAAGUCAGACGUGAAAGCCUUGGGCUUAACCCAAGAACUGCGUUUGAUACUGGUUUGCUUGAGGACGAGAGAGGAAAGUGGAAUUCCGAGUGUAGAGGUGAAAUUCGCAGAUAUUCGGAGGAAUACCAGAGGCGAAGGCGUCUUUCUGGCUCGUUUCUGACGCUGAGGCGCGAAAGCGUGGGGAUCAAACAGGAUUAGAUACCCUUGUAGUC